rnacentral:rRNA from 1 species
UACGUAGGGGGCAAGCGUUGUCCGGAAUUAUUGGGCGUAAAGAGCUCGUAGGCGGCUUGUCACGUCGGAUGUGAAAGCCCGGGGCUUAACCCCGGGUCUGCAUUCGAUACGGGCAGGCUAGAGUGUGGUAGGGGAGAUCGGAAUUCCUGGUGUAGCGGUGAAAUGCGCAGAUAUCAGGAGGAACACCGGUGGCGAAGGCGGAUCUCUGGGCCAUUACUGACGCUGAGGAGCGAAAGCGUGGGGAGCGAACAGG